rnacentral:rRNA from 1 species
AGCGAACGCUGGCGGCAGGCUUAACACAUGCAAGUCGAACGGGCAUAGCAAUAUGUCAGUGGCAGACGGGUGAGUAACGCGUGGGAACGUACCUUUUGGUUCGGAACAACACAGGGAAACUUGUGCUAAUACCGGAUAAGCCCUUACGGGGAAAGAUUUAUCGCCGAAAGAUCGGCCCGCGUCUGAUUAGCUAGUUGGUAGGGUAAUGGCCUACCAAGGCGACGAUCUGUAGCUGGUCUGAGAGGAUGAUCAGCCACAUUGGGACUGAGACACGGCCCAAACUCCUACGGGAGGCAGCAGUGGGGAAUAUAGGACAAUGGGCGAAAGCCUGAUCCAGCCAUGCCGCGUGAGUGAUGAAGGCCCUAGGGUUGUAAAGCUCUUUUGUGCGGGAAGAUAAUGACGGUACCGCAAGAAUAAGCCCCGGCUAACUUCGUG